UACGUAGGUGGCGAGCGUUGUCCGGAUUUACUGGGCGUAAAGAGCGCGCAGGCGGCUGGUCAAGUCCGAUGUGAAAGCUCCCGGCUUAACUGGGAAAUUGCAUCGGAAACUGAUCGGCUGGAAGGUGGGAGAGGGUAGCGGAAUUCCCGGUGUAGUGGUGAAAUGCGUAGAUAUCGGGAGGAACACCCGUAGCGAAGGCGGCCGACUGGACCACACCUGACGCUGAGGAGCGAAAGCGUGGGGAGCGAACAGG
rnacentral:rRNA from 1 species